rnacentral:tRNA from 1 species
GCCGAUAUAGUCGAGUGGUAAAAUUUCUCUUUGUCUAGGACAAGACGCGGGUUCGAUUCCCGCUAUCCGCC